rnacentral:rRNA from 1 species
AGGACGAACGCUGGCGGCGUGCUUAACACAUGCAAGUCGAGCGGUAAGGCCUUUCGGGGUACACGAGCGGCGAACGGGUGAGUAACACGUGGGUGAUCUGCCCUGCACUUCGGGAUAAGCCUGGGAAACUGGGUCUAAUACCGGAUAUGACCUCCUAUCGCAUGGUGGGUGGUGGAAAGAUUUAUCGGUGCAGGAUGGGCCCGCGGCCUAUCAGCUUGUUGGUGGGGUAAUGGCCUACCAAGGCGACGAC